rnacentral:rRNA from 1 species
CAUUCGGAUCGGAGUCUGCAACCCGACUCCGUGAAGCUGGAUUCGCUAGUAAUCGCGCAUCAGCCAUGGCGCGGUGAAUACGUUCCCGGGCCUUGUACACACCGCCCGUCAAGCCAUGGGAGCCGGGGGUGCUUGAAGUGCGUCGCCGCAAGGCGCGCCCUAGAGCAAAACCGGUGACUGGGGCUAAGUCGUAACAAGGUACC